UACGUAGGUGGCAAGCGUUGUCCGGAUUUACUGGGCGUAAAGGGCGUGCAGGCGGUCUGUUAAGUUCAGGGUGAAAGCUCCCGGCUCAACUGGGAGAGGUCCUUGGAUACUGGCAGACUUGAGGGAGGUAGAGGAGAGUGGAAUUCCCGGUGUAGUGGUGAUAUGCGUAGAUAUCGGAAGGAACGCCGGUGGCGAAAGCGGCGUGCUGGACCUCUUCUGACGCUGAGGCGCGAAAGCCAGGGGAGCAAACGGG
rnacentral:rRNA from 1 species